rnacentral:pre_miRNA from 1 species
GACAUACUCCCUCCGUCCCAAAAUACUUGUCGGAGAAAUGGAUAAAAUUAUAUAUAUAUAUAUAUAUAUAUAUAUAUAUAUAUAUAUAUAUAUAUAAUACAUCUAGAUACAUCCAUUUCUCCGACAAGUAUUUUCGGACGGAGGAAGUAGUUG